GGGGAAGGAGACAGGGAUACUGGAGUGAUGGAGGUAGAUAUGUAUAGGGGGAAGGUGACAGGGAUACUGGAGUGAUGGAGGUAGAUAUGUAUAGGGGGAAGGAGACAGGGAUACUGGAGUGAUGGAGGUAGAUAUGUAUAGGGAGAAGGAGACAGGGAUACUGGAGUGAUGGAGGUAGAUAUGUAUAGGGGGAAGGAGACAGGGAUACUGGAGUGAUGGAGGUAGAUAUGUAUAGGGGGAAGGAGACAGGGAUACUGGAGUGAUGGAGGUAGAUAUGUAUAGGGGGAAGGAGACAGGGAUACUGGAGUGAUGGAGGUAGAUAUGUAUAGGGGAAGGAGACAGGGAUACUGGAGUGAUGGAGGUAGAUAUGUAUAGGGGAAGGAGACAGGGAUACUGGAGUGAUGGAGGUAGAUAUGUAUAGGGGAAGGAGACAGGGAUACUGGAGUGAUGGAGGUAGAUAU